rnacentral:rRNA from 1 species
GACGAACGCUGGCGGCGUGCCUAAUACAUGCAAGUCGAACGAGAGCGACCGGUGCUUGCACUGGUCAAUCUAGUGGCGAACGGGUGAGUAACACGUGGGUAACCUGCCCAUCAGAGGGGGAUAACAUCCGGAAACGGAUGCUAAAACCGCAUAGGUCUUCGAACCGCAUGGUUUGAAGAGGAAAAGAGGCGCAAGCUUCUGCUGAUGGAUGGACCCGCGGUGCAUUAGCUAGUUGGUGAGGUAACGGCUCACCAAGGCCGUGACGCAUAGCCGACCUGAGAGGGUGAUCGGCCACAUUGGGACUGAGACACGGCCCAAACUCCUACGGGAGGCAGCAGUAGGGAAUCUUCCGCAAUGGACGCAAGUCUGACGGAGCAACGCCGCGUGAGUGAAGAAGGUUUUCGGAUCGUAAAACUCUGUUGUUAGAGAAGAACAAGUGCUAGAGUAACUGUUAGCGCCUUGACGGUAUCUAACCAGAAAGCCACGGCUAACUACGUG